rnacentral:rRNA from 1 species
UAGGGAAUCUUCCGCAAUGGGCGAAAGCCUGACGGAGCAACGCCGCGUGAGUGAUGAAGGUCUUCGGAUCGUAAAACUCUGUUAUGAGGGAAGAACAAAUGUGGAAGUAACGAUGAACGGCGUGACGGUACCUAAGCAGAAAGCCACGGAUAACUACGUGCCAGCAGCCGCGGUAAUAAGUAGGUGGCAAGCGUUAUCCGGAAUUAUUGGGCGUAAAGCGCGCGUAGGCGGUUUUUUAAGUCUGAUGUGAAAGCCCACGGCUCAACCGUGGAGGGUCAUUGGAAACUGGAAAACUUGAGUGCAGAAGAGGAAAGUGGAAUUCCAUGUGUAGCGGUGAAAUGCGCAGAGAUAUGGAGGACCACCAGUGGCGAAGGCGACUUUCUGGUCUGUAACUGACGCUGAUGUGCGAAAGCGUGGGGAUCAAACAGG